GCUUACACAUGCAGUCGACGGGAUCCAUCAGGCUUUGCUUGGUGGUGAGAGUGGCGAACGGGUGAGUAAUGCGUGACCGACCUGCCCCAUACACCGGAAUAGCUCCUGGAAACGGGUGGUAAUGCCGGAUGCUCCAGUUGAUCGCAUGGUCUUCUGGGAAAGCUUUCGCGGUAUGGGAUGGGGUCGCGUCCUAUCAGCUUGACGGCGGGGUAACGGCCCACCGUGGCUUCGACGGGUAGCCGGCCUGAGAGGGCGACCGGCCACAUUGGGACUGAGAUACGGCCCAGACUCCUACGGGAGGCAGCAGUGGGGAAUAUUGCACAAUGGGCGCAAGCCUGAUGCAGCGACGCCGCGUGAGGGAUGGAGGCCUUCGGGUUGUAAACCUCUUUUAUCGGGGAGCAAGCGAGAGUGAGUUUACCCGUUGAAUAAGCACCGGCUAACUACGUGCCAGCAGCCGCGGUAAAAU
rnacentral:rRNA from 1 species